GCCGAGGUAGCUCAGUCGGUAGAGCACUAGACUGAAAAUCUGGGUGUCGGCGGUCCGAUUCCGUCCCUCGGCACCA
rnacentral:tRNA from 1 species